rnacentral:rRNA from 1 species
UCUGCACUGCAGCGCGAACUGGUUUCCUUGAGUACGCACAAAGUGGGCGGAAUUCGUGGUGUAGCGGUGAAAUGCUUAGAUAUCACGAAGAACUCCGAUUGCGAAGGCAGCUCACUGGAGCGCAACUGACGCUGAAGCUCGAAAGUGCGGGUAUCGAACAGGAUUAGAUACCCUGGUAGUCCGCACGGUAAACGAUGGAUGCCCGCUGUUGGUCUGAAUAGGUCAGCGGCCAAGCGAAAGCAUUAAGCAUCCCACCUGGGGAGUACGCCGGCAACGGUGAAACUCAAAGGAAUUGACGGGGGCCCGCACAAGCGGAGGAACAUGUGGUUUAAUUCGAUGAUACGCGAGGAACCUUACCCGGGCUUGAAUUGCAGAGGAAGGAUUUGGAGACAAUGACGCCCUUCGGGGUCUCUGUGAAGGUGCUGCAUGGUUGUCGUCAGCUCGUGCCGUGAGGUGUCGGCUUAAGUGCCAUAACGAGCGCAACCCCUCUCCUUAGUUGCCAUCAGGUCAAGCUGGGCACUCUGGGGACACUGCCACCGUAAGGUGUGAGGAAGGUGGGGAUGACGUCAAAUCAGCACGGCCCUUACGUCCGGGGCUACACACGUGUUACAAUGGCAGGUACAGAGAGACGGUCCCUUGCAAAACGGAUCAAAUCCUUAAAGCCUGUCUCAGUUCGGACUGGGGUCUGCAACCCGACCCCACGAAGCUGGAUUCGCUAGUAAUCGCGCAUCAGCCAUGGCGCGGUGAAUACGUUCCCGGGCCUUGUACACACCGCCCGUCAAGCCAUGAAAGCCGGGGGCGCCUAAAGUCCGUGACCGUAAGGAGCGGCCUAGGGCGAAACUGGUAAUUGGGGCUAAGUCGUAACAAGGUAGCCGUACCGGAAGGUGCGGCUGGAACACCUCCUUU